UUAAAUGUAGCCCAGUGAGUAGAGUGCUUGCCUAGCAUGCAUGAAGCACUGGGUUCGAACUCCCAGCACCUUAU
rnacentral:tRNA from 1 species